rnacentral:lncRNA from 1 species
AACCUCCUCCACCGGCCAGAAUCCCGGUUUCUCGGUCCGGGGAGUGGGAGGAUGGAGGAAGCGAGGGAGGAAGGAGAGAAGGAAAAGGUGAACAGGCGAGCAGGGCGCUGUGCCAGGGAGCAGCAUCCAGGACCGUAAUUGUGGGCAAGGGCGGGGGACGUUCUGGGCGAGUGUGCCCGAGACCAGGCGCGUACACGUGUGUGUGUGUGUGUGUGUGUGUGUGUGUGUGUGUGUGCGCGCGUGUAUGUGUAAGAGAGAGGAGCGGAGCCUACCAUGCGCUUCCCUGGUGCGGAUCGCGGGAGAGCCCAAUCACAGGGCGAGCUGGACCUGGCUGUGAUCAUUUAUAAUCCUUGACUCCUCCGCUCAGCCACUUGUCAAGAUGACAGCCACAAAGACCUGACUGUCAGGCUCAGACUGAGUUUCUGCAGCUCUGUCACCUCUUCCACUAAAGGGAUUCCAGACACUGAAGAGCUGGCAGACAUGACAUUGACAGCUAUAGUUCAGACACUAGAGCAACCAACCCGUCUUUUGAAAAGCUCAGAGAGACUGAGUGCAAAGAGAAGCGAGAAUAAAGAAUAAGCUAACUGGAAGGAAGACCGAGCCUGUGGGACCCCAGGCUUAGCAUCCUGUUCUCGUGGAGUGCACAUUUCUGCUUUGAGUCUCUUCACACCAGUGAGAGGAUGCUGGACCUCAUCUCAAGAAUUUGCCCUGUCAUUUGGAAACUGGAAUUAAAUCAGGCUUGAUCCAGGAGUUAAGGAAGGCAAUAAGAAUAGAGGAGGCAUGAACACACAAGAACUUGGGAAGAGAGGAAUGUGAGCUGUGAAAAACCAAGCAGAAGUGUUUCCAUCUCAAUGGCACUAUGAGCUGGAGAAGUCAUAGGAAACCAAAGCACUCAAGAGGAGACACAGCUAUCAAGAACUCCUGUCCACCGGGCAUUGGUGGAAGGAGAUGAAGCCAUUUUUACCAACCUGAACCUUUUUUCCGUGGGGCACUAUACAGCUUAACCUAUGAACUCUGUCGAGCCGUUGAGGGCUCCUAAACAAUUUCUUAGCACGGAGUUCCUCUUUUCAGCAAACCCUGCUUCUCACUGAGUACAGAGUCGAAGCAAUCCUACAGCACUAACAUUUCAAUUGUUGCAUAUGGAGCCCAGUACAUAAAGGACUCCCCAAAGAGAGCGGUUUAUAACUGGAUUAUAGCUGCUCCACACAUUUAACUUUCCAUGAAUAGUUUCUGACGUUUUGAAGCACCCCAAGUCAUAACUUUUCUAUCCACGCAUGUAGGAAAGCAGUCACUGAUUGUGCGUUUCUUCAUUGACCAGAAUACAAACAUGGAUGAGACUGUUAGCACCCAUGGUAUCUGAGGGAGAACUUACAGAAUUUGUUUACCUAUGUUAUAUAUAAGACAAUAGAUUGUAUAUACAAAUAUAGAAAACAUUUCACUUGUUUGUAUGUGCACUAUAUGUAUUUUGAGUGCAGAUCAAGUAUGUAAUGGUCCCACUUAUUAUUAGUUUCAUUUUUUUACAAUUUCAUAACUGUGGCCUAAAAAUAGUAGGUGGAAAAUUUUAGAAGCAAUCCACACAUAUGUGUUAAAUUACACGACAUUUUGAGUACCGGGAUAAAUUCUCAUUCUGUAUUGCUUCUUCUUGCCCAAAAUAUAACUCAUUUCUCUGGUCAGUGCAUCUGCUCUGUAUAUCUUGCCUGCUACCUCCAUGAUCAGAACCAUUUAGGAACAGUGUAGGGUCUGUAUUCAAAUCAACCUGUUAUGCUUAGCAGUGUCUCAGUCAUGAUACUGAAAACUGAAUAUGUUAGAGAAAAAUUGGCUAGUGUCUUCUUCAAGUGAAAUGUAAAGGUCUCCACUUGAGGGGGGUUUUAUAGAGCUAUCAUGUUGUUAAAUCAUAUACUAGGCAUGUUUUAUAAAUUAACCUAUGUUAUAGAUAUGUAUGUACAAGAGAAAAGCAUGGUGCAUAUAGGGGCUGGUAUUAUUUGUGAUUUCUGAUAUUCACUGUAUUCUUGGAACACAGAAUUGUAUACCAUUGGCUUUCCCCAACCCUAAUGUUGUAUGUUUAAUGGAGACUUUGUUCUGUGACUAUUAAUCAAGUUCUGAACUCUACCAAGGAAGCACACACUUAUAUACACUUUCCUUACUAAGAAAA